AGCAAUUAAACAGCAAGACAUAACACACUGACAUUUUCUACCCAUGUAAGUAAGUAUUUUCCCACUCUAGAACCAAUGACACUGAAUGGCUAACUCACCUUUGCUUCUUCUUAGAGAUCGUCACUUAAACUUCUUAAGAGAUUGUCACUGAUCACAAGGAUGGCUGGAUCCAGUCGAGCUUGUGGUCAUUUGUAGACAAAACAUCAGUCUUUCCAUUGGUACCAAGUAUUAGCUUAUUCGCACUGAUUACGAGAAACGGCGGUGCAAAUACUACAGCAGUGAUCUGGAACUGGCAAUGAUCCAGAACUGGGCAAGUGACUGUAACAAUUCUAAAACCUGGUGGCAUAUGCGCUAUAAUACAAAUCAUAGUAACUGGUAACCAUAGAGAUGAACAGUCCGCCAUUUAGCUGAAGUACGUAACGUCUGAUGAAUGAAUGAGAUCAUAGUAUGUCAUUUCAUUCGUCUUUCAUAAUGCUCUGCGGGUCCACUUUGAGGAAGUUUUGAGUCCAGCUGUCACUGUGUCAUAGGGAUACUUCUCGUGAUGUCAUAUAUUUGGUCACGUGGGGUUUUUUUUUGUUUGUUUGUUUGUUUGGUUUAUUUUUUUAUUUUUUUGCUUCCCCGGUUGGCAGAAAGCCGUAGUGUUAUGAACUGUGCCGAUCGUUUCCUGAGAAGUCGUGAUCUGGAACCGAAAAGAUCUGUGUGGAUUACUGCAAUUUGACGUAAGAACUGGGUGCUUUCUCUCGUUUUUGUGGGAUCCACUUACUGUCGGGGGUAUCGAGCGAUGAUCCAACCGACCCAGCUAUGUUCCUCACCUGAGGAUGGGUUACGAUGAGGAACAGCCACUGGAAAGUUGAUUGAAGAAGA